GAUACUCAUACCCUCUGCCAAAAAAUGUAUGUGCAGGUGAUGUUCAUGCUACGCGUGCACAAUUGAUUUGGGUGGAUUCUGUAGCUUCCUACUGUCCAUUCAGUGAUCAGCCGUUCAUCAUCUCUCAAAUGGCUUUUGGACAGGUGAAUGCAUGUACUAAUAAACGAGCAAAGUCUAUGUUUGUCUGCUUAAUCCACGGCUCCAUGAAGGUACAGACAGGUGGGACCGCCCCGCCUACCCUGGCCUGGCACGCACCCAUCGCCUCGCAUCGUUCGUGUAUUCUUCAAAGUUUGCCAUGUUCCCCCAGGUUUGAAAGUGUGUUGAUACCCAGGUUCUACCCCUUCUUCAUCCGGCAGUGACGCAGUAACAUCCAGGAGCUAUGCUUCUCCAAUAGUUCGCCCCAUCAUCUUCAACUUUGCUGCAUAUUUCCCUUCCCACUACAGUCCCAUCGUACCCAAUAUGUGUGCUCUAAUAGGGUUCCUGCUGAUGCUGAUUUUUGCUCUUAAUUUGCUACAGUUAUUGACACCCAAGUGCUCGGGACUGGUUCUAGCUUGUUUACCAAAUUUCUCUGGGUGUUUCUGUGUUUAUUUUUGUUCAUGAAUUAUGAA